GACGAACGCUGGCGGCGUGCCUAAUACAUGCAAGUAGGACGCAGUUGCGAACGGAUGAGUAACGCGUAGGUAACUACCUAUUAGAGGGGGAUAACUAUUGGAAACGAUAGCUAAUACCGCCUACUAGUAGAUGGACCUGGUUUGUAUUAGCUAGUAGGUAGGGUAAUGGCCUACCUAGGCAACGAUACAUAGCCGACCUGAGAGGGUGAUCGGCCACAAUGGGACUGAGGCAAGGCCCAGACUCCUACGGGAGGGAGCAGUAGGGAAUCUUCGGCAAUGGGGGGAACCCUGACCGAGCAACGCCGCGUGAGUGAAGAAGGGUUUCGGAGCGUAAAGCUCUGUUGUUAAGGAAGCGGUACUUAACCAGAAAGGGACGGCUAACUACGUGCCAGCAGCCGCGGUAAUUC
rnacentral:rRNA from 1 species